GUUUUUAUAAUAUAGUGGUGAGCAUUCUCGCCUGUCACGCGAGCGACUCGGGUUCAAUCCCUGGAAACG
rnacentral:tRNA from 1 species